CCAUCAAUGUUCUUAGACAAGCGAUUAGAAGACGAUAAAGACUACGGUCUCAGCCUCUUCAAACCAGAUGCAGACACUUGCUUGACAUGGCUGGAUUCCAAGCAACCCGGCUCCGUCGUCUACGUAUCAUUCGGAAGCUUGGCGUCUCUGGAAGGGGAACAGAUGAUUGAAUUAGCAAGAGGUUUACAGAUGAGCGGCAGCCAUUUCUUAUGGGUGGUCAGAGACCUGGAAUGGAAGCUUCCAGCCAGCUUCAUAGAAGAAACUUCAGACAAGGGUUUGGUGGUGAGUUGGAGUCCGCAACUCGAAGUUCUCGCUCAC
rnacentral:lncRNA from 1 species